rnacentral:rRNA from 1 species
GUUGAACGCUGGCGGCGUGCCUAAUACAUGCAAGUCGAGCGAACGGACGAGAAGCUUGCUUCUCUGAUGUUAGCGGCGGACGGGUGAGUAACACGUGGAUAACCUACCUAUAAGACUGGGAUAACUUCGGGAAACCGGAGCUAAUACCGGAUAAUAUUUUGAACCGCAUGGUUCAAAAGUGAAAGACGGUCUUGCUGUCACUUAUAGAUGGAUCCGCGCUGCAUUAGCUAGUUGGUAAGGUAACGGCUUACCAAGGCAACGAUGCAUAGCCGACCUGAGAGGGUGAUCGGCCACACUGGAACUGAGACACGGUCCAGACUCCUACGGGAGGCAGCAGUAGGGAAUCUUCCGCAAUGGGCGAAAGCCUGACGGAGCAACGCCGCGUGAGUGAUGAAGGUCUUCGGAUCGUAAAACUCUGUUAUUAGGGAAGAACAUAUGUGUAAGUAACUGUGCACAUCUUGACGGUACCUAAUCAGAAAGCCACGGCUAACUACGUGCCAGCAGCCGCGGUAAUACGUAGGUGGCAAGCGUUAUCCGGAAUUAUUGGGCGUAAAGCGCGCGUAGGCGGUUUUUUAAGUCUGAUGUGAAAGCCCACGGCUCAACCGUGGAGGGUCAUUGGAAACUGGAAAACUUGAGUGCAGAAGAGGAAAGUGGAAUUCCAUGUGUAGCGGUGAAAUGCGCAGAGAUAUGGAGGAACACCAGUGGCGAAGGCGACUUUCUGGUCUGUAACUGACGCUGAUGUGCGAAAGCGUGGGGAUCAAACAGGAUUAGAUACCCUGGUAGUCCACGCCGUAAACGAUGAGUGCUAAGUGUUAGGGGGUUUCCGCCCCUUAGUGCUGCAGCUAACGCAUUAAGCACUCCGCCUGGGGAGUACGACCGCAAGGUUGAAACUCAAAGGAAUUGACGGGGACCCGCACAAGCGGUGGAGCAUGUGGUUUAAUUCGAAGCAACGCGAAGAACCUUACCAAAUCUUGACAUCCUUUGACAACUCUAGAGAUAGAGCCUUCCCCUUCGGGGGACAAAGUGACAGGUGGUGCAUGGUUGUCGUCAGCUCGUGUCGUGAGAUGUUGGGUUAAGUCCCGCAACGAGCGCAACCCUUAAGCUUAGUUGCCAUCAUUAAGUUGGGCACUCUAAGUUGACUGCCGGUGACAAACCGGAGGAAGGUGGGGAUGACGUCAAAUCAUCAUGCCCCUUAUGAUUUGGGCUACACACGUGCUACAAUGGACAAUACAAAGGGCAGCGAAACCGCGAGGUCAAGCAAAUCCCAUAAAGUUGUUCUCAGUUCGGAUUGUAGUCUGCAACUCGACUACAUGAAGCUGGAAUCGCUAGUAAUCGUAGAUCAGCAUGCUUCGGUGAAUACGUUCCCGGGGUCU